GGUUCCGUAGUGUAGUGAGUUAUCACGUUCGCUUCACACGCGAAAGGUCUCCGGUUCGAUCCCGGACGGAACCA
rnacentral:tRNA from 1 species